rnacentral:misc_RNA from 1 species
AAGUCGUAACAAGGUUUCCGUAGGUGAACCUGCGGAAGGAUCAUUAACACGUAUCCAACGUUAAACCCCCCUGUGAACUUUUACACUUGCUCUCGUGGCCUGCUAAAAUUGCAAUCCCUGGUAAAUCAUUGUUGGUAGGUUUCGAUCGAGCGAUCGUUGCAAGUGACCUGGUUUCCAGAAGCAUCAUGUCUGAAAGUGUCAUUGUUGUGGAAGGAUAACGCUUUACGAUCACUGGCCGAACACCGGCUAGUGGACGGGUCGCAGCGGCUUCGGCCCCCCCAUAUUCACCCCACUACCAGAACUCGCCUCGUAGGAAACUGCUGGGCAACAAAACGAACAACUGUUAACAAUGGAUAUCUUGGUUCUC